GGACGUGAGGGCCACAUCUGUCAUCCCAUUGAUGGCCAGGGCGGAUUUGGCUGAUCUGGCCGGGUGGGUGGCUGUCCCCUCCUCCCUCACAGCUGUCUGUGUUUCCCUCCCGAAGCUGCACACUUGGCCCCAGAGGACAAACUGCCCUGAUAGAGAAGUUCUUUACGGGAGUA
rnacentral:snRNA from 1 species